CAUAAUUUCAGCUUUUGACUUGCUUCUAUUUCAUACCAGAUUCUAGAAGUCUCACAGUUUCUUUUGGUUUUUCCUUCGUUGUGUUUGCUUUUAACAGAUGGCCCAUACCUUCAAAUAUUAGAGCAACCAAAACAGAGGGGAUUUCGAUUCCGCUAUGUCUGUGAAGGCCCAUCACAUGGCGGACUCCCUGGUGCCUCUAGUGAGAAGAACAAGAAAUCCUACCCUCAGGUCAAAAUUUGCAACUAUGUGGGACCUGCAAAGGUUAUUGUUCAAUUGGUCACCAAUGGAAAAAACAUCCACCUGCAUGCCCACAGCCUGGUGGGAAAACACUGUGAGGACGGGAUCUGCACUGUAGUAGCUGGACCCAAGGACAUGGUAGUUGGGUAAGUGGGGGAGUACGGUGCUGAGGGAGACGGGACAGGAGAAUGGGGAGCGCAUGAAUGUGAAAUCCAUAAGCUCUUUUCAUUACUGACCUGUGCAAGGCCUGAGAAGGCCUCAGAGCACACAUACAUACAAAGCCAGGAGAACAUUUGUGAAAAAGGAAAAAGAGGUGACCAGAUAUGUGCACUGCCUGAGGCAAUCCUUGCCUCAGGUGGGUUGGUUCAGUUUGGAUGGUGUUAUAUUUGUAGGCACUUGACCUCAGAGCCAUUUUCAAUAUAUCUUUGUGUCACUUUCAAUAAUACUUUUUCUUCUCCUGGCAAUAAAAAUAAAGACAAAUGAAACAAAACAAAAACAAAAAUCCACCAUCUUUUAACUAUACAGAAAUGGUUAUCUUUUUGUUUCUCUGGAACAGGAUCUCCACUUAAAGUCUGAGCUUACCUUGAACUUAAGACUAUCCUUCUGCCUUCUCUGCCUCCCAGAUGUUUAGGUGCUGGGCUUAGAGACAUGCACAUCACAGCCAGCUCUGAUUUCUAUCUAUUUUUGUUCCCUUAAUAAAUUCCUAAUGGGAACAUUUGAGACAUAAAGCAGAUAAAUAAAUAUUGUUUUAGUUCUGUGCUGCUUAAGAAGUAUGUAGAUCGAAUAACCAAGAAAUGCAAGUUGGUAUGAGCAUUCAUUAGAUCUGGAAUGUAAAUAGAAAUUAGUCUAUU